ensembl:lncRNA
CUACAGCUUUCUUGUCUUUGCCAAUAUGAAGACUGCAGGCAGCGGAAGUGUUUAUUUCUUCACUAAGCCGAGGCGAAGCCCCCUCAGCUGCUUUCAGUCUGUCUUGAGGAGUGAGGCCAGUCGGACGCCUCAUUGAUCAUUUCAAGGUAAACAGGAGAUAGUAGUUUCAGGUCUGCAGGGAGGCCACGUCAGGAGAUAAAGAUCGAACCUAACCCAACACAAGACCAGAAUCGCCAACAACAGCAGGAAUAGAACUCCUGAAGACAAAACUGCACGUUGAAACCUCUGCGUCUGAAAAGUGAAGCCCAGUCACUUAAAUGAAGAGAAGAUGAUUGGGGACAAUCUAUGGAGUAGAGGUACGUCCCAGUCAGGGAACCAUCAGGACAUUUCAUCAGAACACAAUGCAAUCAAAACCAUUUUGGUUGCUCGCGCUCGUUUGCGUCGCUUUCAGUUUGGAAAUAUGAUUUGAAACUAAUAUAUAUUAAGACAAUGUUUGGCCACUUUUGACAGUGUCUACUAUACAAGUACCAGGAAGCGUUGUUCAAGACAUCGCCUCUAUUUAUUGCUUUAAUUGACUUCCCAACACUGACUGGCAAUCAACAUAAAGGUUCCAAACUGAUUUCCCUUUUAAAAAUAUUAGUAGGAAAUUGAAUUUAAAGAAAAAACGAUGUUAUUUAUUGGACCUAAAAUAUUUCUUUUCUAUGACAAGGCUUAAAAACAAGGGGCAAUGACUCCUUUUCGAAGGUUCCCACCACUCAUACGUUUUUGUGUUACUUUUCUGCUCAGCUCAGCUGUUUUUCAUGUGAAGUCACGUUUGGGGAUUUUGUACCAGAACCGAAACCUGCACGAACCAACAUCUUUCCUUCUUUGAGGUCAUCACAGUGGCAUCGCUAACGAUCACUAAAAGAAACGUCAACACAAAAGCCGCAGUUUCUACUAGGCACCGGCGAUAAAUAGUAUUUUAUUACCAACUCCUGAUGAAAACCCAUCUGGACGACCCAAUAACACACUUUAAUGUGAUACAGGUUGGGAAGAUGUUACUUUGUCGUGCACCGACUGUGAAGAAGACAGUUCAAGCUGCCACGUGGCGGAUUCUUUCUCUCUCUCAGUGUUCUCGUUUCCUCCUUUCCCCUCAGGAGAAAACAACAAGUUUGUCUGUUUUGUUUCUGGGAGAUUUCCCUGUCUGUCCUUAUUUGGCAACUUUAUCUAAUGUCAUUAAACAGAUUAGUGCAGGCCUAAAUGUCUUCUUUAUGUUUUAAUUCAUAGCCCAAUACUGGCUUUUGAUAUUUCAUUAUUAAAUUCACAACGAGACGUUUUUUGUUGUUGUUUAUGUUCUUUUAUCCGCCAAUUUUCUUUAUUACCUCUAACAUUUUCUUCCCUAUUUCUUUUUAAACUCAUUUCAUCUCCUUGACCGUUCAAGAAUUUUCCAUUUGUCAUCACAUUCCCUCUUUGUUUGCGCUUCACCAACAGUUUUCAAAAAUCUGCUUCAGAUAAAAUUCUCAGUCAAAGAUUUUGCUUUUGUGCCAAGAUAUGUAAACCCCCAAAAAAUGUUUGGAAUAAUGUCCAAUAUUUACUGAAAAUUAAAAAAAAAAUUGACUUUCCAAAACCUUUUUUCCCUCUCACACAGGGUUGAAGCUACGUUCAUGUCCCCAUAUGAGUUUAAAUGAACUGGCUUUGAGAUGAAAUCAAUCAGGACAAUGUGAUCUAUCGCCUUGGAUUUGGUUGCUGGUUAAACGCGUCCAGAAAAGGAACCUGAUAUACUCCUUUUAAUCUGCUCUCUGUUCCCAAAGGUCGGACCCAUGAGGCAGCAAGAGAAACGGAGAACGAGUGGAGAGAUGUAAGAAAUUAUUCUGAUCUCAAUCGCCAUUUACUUGGAACACAACAAAUGGAAAAAAAAACUUCUUGACAUGUUGAAGAUGUUCGGAAACAGUCCCGUGUAACUUUGGAUUUCUUAUCUAUUAAACUAACAAUUUGCUGCGUGACGGCAUCUGUCAGUGCAUCUUUCUGUUAGCUGAUAAAGUCCCAGAAGAAGCUUUGCAUUUUGUAAAUGUUUAAUCAUUUUAAAUAGGAAACACAUGCGGCUCUGAAGGUUAUCCUCAUUAGUUUGUGACCUUUUAUUUUACCCUCCAUUACUUUUUAUCACAUGUUUUGAUUUGCAGCAGAGCAGAAGCAAAUACGCAAUGAAACUAUCCAGAAAUGGUGGAUAAAAAUGUUCCAAAAACGCCCACAGGUAGUACAUUUAUUUCCCCGCAGUCAGUGUUGUUUUGAGCAGUUAGGCCAUAUCGAACGCCCGACACUGGCCACCUUUCUAAAGCGACUACGUUGAGCCCAUUUGAUCGUCUCCACAAAUGUUUACUCGUAAAUAACGUCAUGGAUAUUGGACGUUAAAGCAACCUGCAUUAUCAGGAACCAAGGUCAAAGGUAUUUCUGAAUGACUCAAGUUAAUGUCUUAAAGUCACUUGAACUACUGUGGUACACAGUUAUUUGGGGGCAGCUUUGCAAUCAAAGUAUCCGUUCACAGGCAUCCACAUGUGGAGAAUAACUUUACGCUUAAACGAAAGCAGGCGACGUGUUUGACAAAUAAUGCCUGUUUCGAUCAGUGUUUCUUUUUCAAAUGCACAGAUGGUCAGAAUAUUCCCAAAAUAACGAGCUGUGUUUACAGAAAUCCCGAAAAAUCCUAACCAGCUAAUCAGUAACCCUUGUUUUAGUAGAACAGACAAAUAAAAAUGUAACAGCGGCGCUUGAAUCAACCCUUUAACACCGGCAGAAAUUAAACAUUACACAACAAAAGAUCAAAAAUCGCCUUUAUAAAUUCUGUAUUUUAUGAGAGCUGUCAGAUCAUCUUAUGGAACAAAAACGUAUGGGCUUGAUCUCCCAACAAACCAGACUGUUCACACAAAUGUCUCAUAAUGAGACCUAAGACGAAGCUUUACUUCUGCAGGUGAUUCAAAGUAAUGAGGUUCUUCUAAUUGAAUCACACGAUUCGAUUUUGAGGCCAUCCAGAGAGAUGGUAGCCUGUGCGUGGUGUUCAAACAAAGGUCAGGGCAACGUGGGGAGAAGGAGACAACAGCUGGUGUCAUAAUUCUUGAGGACUUCAGCUGUGUAGGGAAAGAGGGACUGCGACGAGUAAAACCAUUAGACGCCCACGACGAAAGCAAAGUAUAAGAAAACCCAGCCGCCUGAGCGGAGGACCUUCAGAUGGUCCUCACAGAUUAGUUUCCUCCACUCAUGAAGACACGCGUUGAUAAGGCGUCAGAGUAUAGAGGACUUUAAAGAAAGCCACUCCCUCCCUUGCUCACGUCUGGCUCUCCGUACUCACCUGUUCCAGCCAGGCGCGCUUUCCCUCCGACAAACACACCUGACCUGCUCCAGAUGCUUUCCAUUUCCCCACGGUAGUCAACAGCAGAUGACGUAUGUCACGCCUGCAUGUCUCUGAUUCCUCGCCUACUCCUCGCCCCUUCCUGUUCUUGAUCUCAGCCUUUUUUCACGGUGUUAAAUAUUUUGAGCUCGCUCCCCGUUUGAUGUCUUUCUGUUUUUUUUUUGUCUUUCCUGUUCCGUGUCAGUCACAGUUACAGAUCCGUUAUUAUGAUGAAAUGUGUUGAUCAUACAGCUGCUUUACAUGUUUGAGUCCAAGAGGAGAAUCACACAUUGCUGCUCUCUGACACUUGAUUGAUUGACACAAAUCUGUGUUAUCUUUUAUUUUUCUCCUUGACAAUGUUUUCAUUCACGUCUACAUAAUGUAUAACAUAAUAAUAUUUAGUUCUGUUUAUUAUUGUAUUUUACCUAGAAAUCCUGUGAUUGAAUUUAGGAAGUGAUUCUGACAAUAAGGCACUGAUGAACAGGAGAUGGCUGGACUUCUUAGUUUUGAUAAGCUUCCAUGUUCACAAUAAGAUGAUUUUCUCCAGUCGAGCUGUAAUGCGAACUUGGGGAAUUCCCCGCCACAAUGUUCGAUGUAGAAAAUUGGUCAUUUUGAAUUUUAGCACCCGGUUUAUGCUCAUCCCAUUAUGACCACGCUGUACCCGUUUUAGUAAACGCUUCCGACAGGAUGACGUGGCUUAAUCUGGUUUCUUGAACACUCACUGUACUCAUGUGGCCUCACCACCACAACACGUCUAAACCCUUUGGAGCUUCUUUUGGAUGUUUGUGGAGUAACAGAAGUUAUGCUUUAUGGAUGUACAACCUUUGGAGCAUAUAUCGAAAGAUAUCCCAUUACCAGUACCAUCAAAGAUUAAAGUCAUUCUUAAAGCAAACAGGUUUAAACCCAGUAUUAUUAUUAUUAUUAUAUUAGGAAGCUGGUGGUUCGCGACAGACAUUUGCUCUGCUUUUAACAGUCUGUGUUUCUUUAAUAAUGUCAUGACUGGCUUUUGAAGGAGCCUGGAG